GAUGAACGCUGGCGGCGUGCCUAAUACAUGCAAGUCGAGCGAAUGGAUUAAGAGCUUGCUCUUAUGAAGUUAGCGGCGGACGGGUGAGUAACACGUGGGUAACCUGCCCAUAAGACUGGGAUAACUCCGGGAAACCGGGGCUAAUACCGGAUAACAUUUUGAACCGCAUGGUUCGAAAUUGAAAGGCGGCUUCGGCUGUCACUUAUGGAUGGACCCGCGUCGCAUUAGCUAGUUGGUGAGGUAACGGCUCACCAAGGCAACGAUGCGUAGCCGGCCGGGGAGGGGGAUCGGCCACACUGGGACUGGGACACGGCCCAGACUCCUACGGGAGGCAGCAGUAGGGAAUCUUCCGCAAUGGACGAAAGUCUGACGGAGCAACGCCGCGUGAGUGAUGAAGGCUUUCGGGUCGUAAAACUCUGUUGUUAGGGAAGAACAAGUGCUAGUUGAAUAAGCUGGCACCUUGACGGUACCUAACCAGAAAGCCACGGCUAACUACGUGCCAGCCGCCGCAGUAA
rnacentral:rRNA from 1 species